AGUUAAUUUUGUUUGUGUCGGUAC
rnacentral:siRNA from 1 species